AGUGAACGCUGGCGGUAGGCCUAACACAUGCAAGUCGAACGGCGGCACAGUAAGAGCUUGCUCUUACGGGUGGCGAGUGGCGGACGGGUGAGGAAUACAUCGGAAUCUACUUUUUCGUGGGGGAUAACGUAGGGAAACUUACGCUAAUACCGCAUACGACCUACGGGUGAAAGCAGGGGAUCUUCGGACCUUGCGCGAUUGAAUGAGCCGAUGUCGGAUUAGCUAGUUGGCGGGGUAAAGGCCCACCAAGGCGACGAUCCGUAGCUGGUCUGAGAGGAUGAUCAGCCACACUGGAACUGUGACACGGUCCAGGCUCCUACGGGAGGCAGCAGUGGGGAAUAUUGGACAAUGGGCGCAAACCUGAUCCAGCCAUACCGCGUGGGUGAAGAAGGCCUUCGGGUUGUAAAGCCCUUUUGUUGGGAAAGAAAAGCAGCAGGUUAAUACCCCGCUGUUCUGACGGUACCCAAAGAAUAAGCACCGGCUAACUUCGUG
rnacentral:rRNA from 1 species